GGAUGAACGCUAGCUACAGGCUUAACACAUGCAAGUCGUGGGGCAGCGGAUGCUUAGCUUGCUAAGUAUGCCGGCGACCGGCGCACGGGUGAGUAACGCGUACCGAACCUGCCCAUCACACAGGGAUAGGCUUGCGAAAGCAAGAUUAAUAUCUGAUGGUCUCAAUUUUAUGCAUGUAUGAUUGAGUAAAGCCUUCGGGCGGUGAUGGAUGGCGGUGCGUCCCAUUAGGAAGUUGGCGGGGUAACGGCCCACCAAUCCUUCGAUGGGUAGGGGUUCUGAGAGGAAGGUCCCCCACAUUGGAACUGAGAUACGGUCCAAACUCCUACGGGAGGCAGCAGUGAGGAAUAUUGGUCAAUGGGCGAGAGCCUGAACCAGCCAAGUAGCGUGCGGGAUGAAGGCCCUUGUGGUCGUAAACCGCUUUUAUCAGUGAAUAAAGUGCAUCACGUGUGGUGUCAUUGCAGGUAGCUGAAGAAAAAGGACCGGCUAAUUCCGUGCCAGCAGCCGCGGUAAUACGGAAGGUCCGGGCGUUAUCCGGAAUUAUUGGGUUUAAAGGGAGCGCAGGCGGGAGUGUAAGUCAGCUGUUAAAUAUCAGGGCCCAACUCUGUUAUGCAGUUGAAACUAUAUUUCUUGAGUACGCACAGGGAUGGCGGAAUUCAGGGUGUAGCGGUGAAAUGCUUAGAUAUCCUGAAGAACUCCGAUCGCGAAGGCAGCCAUCCGGAGCGUAACUGACGCUGAGGCUCGAAGGUGCGGGUAUCGAACAGGAUUAGAUACCCUGCUAGUCCGCACGGUAAACGAUGAAUACUCGCGGUUCGGUCAUUAUGAUUGAGUUGUCCAGCGAAAGCGUUAAGUAUUCCACCUGGGGAGUACGCCGGCACGGUGAAACUCAAGGAUGACGGGGCCCGCACAAGCGGAGGACAUGUGUUUAUCGAUGAUACGCGAGAACCUUA
rnacentral:rRNA from 1 species